AAUGAACGCUGGCGGCGUGCCUAAUACAUGCAAGUCGAACGGGGAAAGCUUUCGGGUGAGUACUAGUGGCGCACGGGUGAGGAACGCGUGGAUAAUCUGCCUUAGAGUGGGGGAUAACUAGUCGAAAGAUUAGCUAAUACCGCAUAAGACCACAGGAGCUGCGGCUCAAGGGGUCAAAGGUUUUUCGCUCUAAGAUGAGUCCGCGUAAGAUUAGCUAGUUGGUGAGGUAACGGCUCACCAAGGCGACGAUCUUUAACUGGUCUGAGAGGAUGAUCAGUCACACUGGAACCGAGACACGGGCCAGACUCCUACGGGAGGCAGCAGUAGGGAAUAUUGCACAAUGGAGGAAACUCUGAUGCAGCGACGCCGCGUGAGUGAUGAAGGCCUUCGGGUCGUAAAGCUCUGUCGCAGGGGAAUAACACAAUGAAUGUACCCUGUAAGAAAGGAUCGGCUAACUUCGUGCCAGCCGCCGCGGUAAGAC
rnacentral:rRNA from 1 species